rnacentral:tRNA from 1 species
UAGGAAAUAAUAUAGAGGAAGUAUGGAGG